rnacentral:lncRNA from 1 species
GAGACCCGGGGGGGAUGGGCCCCAGGAGUCCACACCUUCAACCUCUUCCCUGGGGGAUCCUUUCCUUUCUCUUAUUUUCUUCUUAUUACUUUUGCACAGUCAGGCUUAGGAGUGUCUGCUCCUCGGAGGAAAGCAGGGAAGAGGAAGCCGGCUCAGUACCUGCCGUCUGGCCGCCCGAGGCGGGGGAGGUGGCGCAGGCUGGGGCAGCCCGGCCGAGCGAAGGCUCCUUCCGGGGCCGGGCCGGGAAGGGGGGCUGGGAGGUUUCUUGGAGGAGGUAGAGCUGCAUUCCUCUCAUGCCUUAAGCAUGAAUUUCUAAGGGUAGAAUUUCAAGGGUGGUAAAUGGAGAGGGCUGGAGGAGCUUUAUUUGUCUAUUUAUUUAUUUCCCCUAAUCCGCUUGCAGGGCUAAUCAGCUCCCCCCCGGGGCAGCCUCCGACGGGCUUCUCUCACUGCUCAGCCUGGGCUGGAGGGACCCGUGAGGGACGCACACCGUCUCGCAGGGAAGCUGAGCAGAGGAGAGGGAAGCUGUGGGGGUGGCUUUCAGUCCCGGGAGGGCUCCUGGAGUUCCUGCUCCAAGUCCGGGGAUCUGACCUGGCUGUCCCUAGGCCUGUGGAGACCCCAGGAAUGGGAAUGAAAGAGACUGGGGUCCAAAUGGCCCCCAGGCCUGACCAAUGCAUCCCUGGGGGCCAGAUACAAGGGGAGCUGCCACAGCUCAGGAGAGCGCAGGACCAUCCCUGGAACAGGCUCCAGCUUCUCCAUAGCAGCUCUGAGAGGAAUAUGUGGCCUCUUAGGCCGAUCAGCCUGAGCCAAGGCACCUUCCUUAGGUGUGGAGUGUCCUAGUCAACACAUGCUCGUGCAUUCAUUCAUUCAUUCAUUCAUUGAACACCUGCUAUGUGCCAGGCACUGGGCUGGGCUCUGCAGGUUAGCUGUGAACAAAGCAGCUGAGGCCCUGCUGUCGUGGAGUUUACAUACAGGAGGGGGAUGGACAACAAAACAUAACAAAUUAAUGUGUAACCUGGUUAUCAUCCUAUAACCCUGUUAGACGUCACAUGUAAUGGUGUCAGGCGAGAAUAUGAAGCGAGGUAAGGGGAGAGAGUGCUUGGGAUGGAAAGAGGUGAGCUAUUUCUGCUCGGAGGUCGGGGAAGCCCUCUGAAGAGAAGACAUUGAACAGAGGCCUAAAGGAAGGAAGGAACUGGAACAGGCAGAUUUGGGGGGAGGAACAGCAGGAGGCCACGGAGGUUUGGGGCCAAGGAGUGACAAGACCUGGCUUCGGUUUACAAAGAUCAUUCUGGCUGCUGCCUAGAGAAUGGAAGGCUGGCAGGGAGAGCCUACCGGGAGGCCACUGCAGCAGGCCAGGGAGAGAGAGGUGAGAACGGGGGACUAGCUUUGGAGACAGCGAGAAGCAAUGGAUUUGAAAGCUGCUGAUGUGUUUUGAAAAUGGAACUGACGGGAUUUGACACCAGAAUGGAGGUGGGUGUGAGGAAUGAGGAGGCAAGGGGGAUUCCGAGAUUUGCCAACUGAGCAUCUAAGUCGAUGGAGCUGGUGAGGGGAAGUUACGAAUUCUGUUUGGGACAUGUGAAGUUUGAGGUGACCAUUAGGCACCCUGGUGGAGAUGUUGCUGUGCACUUGCAGACGUGAGGCCGUGACUCUGGACUCGGGGUGGGGGUCGGGAGCUGGAGACACGCAUUUCCUUGGCUUGGAGAUGGAACUGACAGCUGUGGGAGAGAUGCGACCCCUGGAGAAACUUAAAAUGGAGGGCAAGGGGAGUGAGCACCGAGCCCUGGGCCUCACCAUGGAGAGGUCUGGAAGAGGAGGCUGAACCAGCCGGGAGACUCCGAAAGAGGGGCCAGCGAGGGAACAGAGAAAUGGAGCCAGAGAGCUAACUGGUGGGAUCUGCAAGGAGACUCCGGAUGGCUCCUGCAGAGCAGAGAGACAUGGCCCGCAGUGCGAGUCAGGAGGCCGGCCUGUCUUCCCUGAGAUUGGAAGGAAAGAGGGAAAAAAGGGUAAAUACGUAGAUAACUCUAAAGGAAACGGAGGGCUUCUGCCAGUGUUCUUUCUCUGUGGCCUGAAAUUUCACCAUCGCUGGUUUUGGAAGCCUGACUUGUAGCAACCAAAGAAAACGAUCUUACCUAAAGUGCCACCCCCUUAUUUCCAGCCAGGAGCACAACGGAGGUGAAGGCUGGUCGAGCAAGGUCCCAAGAGAAAGGAUGCACUCUAGUUAGAGCCCCUUUUGCCUAAGGCUGGAUCUGCCUGGGCGGGUGUGGUCAGAAAAGCUGGCCUGGCUGGGGCAUUGAGUGCAGACCGGACCUCCGCAAACAGUCUGCAGCCUUGUGACCCGGGACUUUACUUACCCACCAGCUGGGGGCUGGUGAUGCGGUGUCUUCCCACAGGGCUCCUUGCACCCCUACCUGUGAGGCAGUGAGGGUGAUCUUUGCAUCCAGGAAAAAGACGUACCAGUUAGGAUGCCUCAAGCCAAUAUAAGUGAUGCUUGCUACUCCAAGUGUGCUCUGAACCAGCAGCAGCAGCAACUGGGAUCUUGCUAAAAAUACAGAAUCUCAGGGGCUGGCCCCGUGGCCAAGUGGUUGAGUUCGCGUGCUCCGCUGCAGGCGGCCCAGUGUUUCGUUGGUUUGAAUCCUGGGCGCGGACAUGGCACUGCUCAUCAGACCACGCUGAGGCGGCGUCCCACAUGCCACAACUAGAAGAACCCACAACGAAGAAUACACAACUAUGUACCGGGGGGCUUUGGGGAGAAAAAGGAAAAAAUAAAAUCUUUUAAAAAAAAAAAAAAUACAGAAUCUCAGACCUGCUGACUCAGUCUUAGUUUAACAAAAUUCCCAGGUGAUUCUAAUGUGCUAACUUAAUCACUAAUCUUGAGAACCACUAACUUAAACCGUAAAGAUAUUUGUUCUGGGAGUUAGAUUCCAGGGUAGUUCCAGGGUAGGUUCAGCAGCCCCUGAGGUAAUUGAUGACUAACCAUUAUCAGAGGUUUUUUUAAUCCUUAGGCUUGUUGCCUCUUGGUUCUAAAAUAGCUGCCACAGCUCCUGGAAUCUCACACCAAUGUGACAAGGUUCAAAGUUGGGAGUGGGUGCAAGACCAAGCUGAUAUGGGCUAGUUUUGUGACUUCCCUCUUUUUGUCAAGCAGGGGAAAAACUUUCCCAGAUCCCUGCAACAAAUGUCUCUUUGGUUUUGUCAGGCAAAGACAGGUCACCCGUAGCUGCUAGGGAGUCUAGGAAGGUGAAUUUUUGGCUUUUUCUUUGUUCAUAGUAGGAAGUAGAAAAUGGAGAAGGGAGUUAGAAAGGGCCACUGAGUAGCCAGUCAUCAGUGUGAGCCAUUAAAGGCCCACAUGAAAUAUAAAUGCACGUGUGCCAACUUAUCACACUGAUUAAUUAAAAUUAUAAUUAUGUAACGAGCAAAAGCAGGCAAGAUCACAGUCUUCCAUUAAUUUUCUGUUUUUAAUUUGAUCAAUUAAUUGGUCAUUUUUUUUCUGUUUAAUUGAUUUGCUUUACAUUUGUCCAGAUCAAAAAUCAAAAGGUUUUCUUUAAAAUACAAGCUCUUUGAAGGCAGAAAUUCCCGUCUGCUUGUAAACUUUGCGUAGCGUUUUUAGCUCAGUGUGACGAAUUCAGUCAAAAUAUAGGUGAAGAGACUAAGAAAUGACCACGUUUCUUAGUGCUCCGCAAACUAUAAAUGUGCUGUCCCCAGCUGCUCCUGGAAAAGCCCUUAGAAUUUUACGUACCCUCUAACACAGAAAUUCUACUUCUGGGGAUUAAUCCUAAGGAAAUAACCACGUACACAUUUUGGAAGUAAUCAUCGACAAGCUGCUUAUAAAGACUGAGAACAACCUGAAUCCCCAGUGACAGGGCGUUGGUUGGAUGAUACAGCCAUGUAAUGGGAUACUAAACAGCCAUAAAAAUUGACAGCCUGAGGUGGUAUUUGAUGGCAUGGGAAUAGGUUCACAAUUUUUUUUUUUUUGAGGAAGAUCAGCCCUGAGCUAACAUCUGCUGCCAAUCCUCCUCUGUUUGCUGAGGAAGACUGGCCCUGAGCUAACAUCCGUGCCCAUCUUCCUCUACUUUAUAUGUGGGAUGCCUACCACAGCAUGGCGUGCCAAGUGGUGCCAUGUCUGUACCCGGGAUCCAAAUCGGGGAACCCCAGGCCACCCAAGCAGAACGUGCGCACUUAACCGCUGCACCACCAGGCCGGCCCGUUCACAAUAUAUUAAGUGAAAAAAGUAGCUUAUAAAGCAGCAUAUAGUAUAAUCACAUUUUAAUUUUUAAAUUAAAUUUAAUUAAAUUUUUAUUGAGGUAUAGUUGACAUACAAUAUUAUGUUAGUUUCAGGUGUACAACAGAGCGAUCAAUAGUUAUGUACAUUACAGAAUGAUCCCCACAAGUCUAGUAAUCAUCUGUCACCACACAGUUGUUACAAGAUUAUUGACUAUAUUCCCUGUGCUGCACUUUACAACCCUGUGACUUAUUUAUUUUAUAGCUGGAAGUUUGUACCUCUUAGUCCCCUCACUUAUUUCACCCCUCCCCUGCCCUUGCAACCACCAGUUUGUUCUUUGUAUCUAUGAGUUUCUUUCUAUUUUAUUUUUUUCAUUUUUAGAUUCCACAUAUAAGUGAAAUUAUACAGUGUUUGUCUCUCUCUGUUUGACUUAUUUCACUGAGUGUAAUACCCUCUAGGUCCACCCAGGUUGUUUCAAAAGGCAAGAUUUCAUUCUUUUUUAUGGCUGAGUAAUAUUCCAUUGUAUAUAUAUACAUAUAUAUAUAUAUGUAUAUAUAUACCACAUCUUCUUUGUCCAAUCAUCCAUCAAUGGACACUUUUCCAUAUCUUGGCUAUUGCAGAUAAUGCUGCAGUGAACAUAGGGGUGCAUGUCUCUUUCCGAAUUAGUGUUUUCAUUUUCUAUGGAUAAAUACCCAGAAGUGAAAUAGCUGCAUUGUAUGGUAGUUCAAUUUCUAGUUUUCUGAGAAAUCUCCAUACUGUUUUCCAUAGUGGCUGCACCAAUUUACGUUCCCACCAACAGAGUACAGGGGUUCUCUCUCUUUUCUCCACAUCCUUGCCAACACUUGUUAUUUGUUGUCUUUUUGAUAAGAGCUAUUCUGACAGGUGCGAG